rnacentral:rRNA from 1 species
GUGACUGCGUACCUUUUGUAUAAUGGGUCAGCGACUUAUAUUCUGUAGCAAGGUUAACCGAAUAGGGGAGCCGAAGGGAAACCGAGUCUUAACUGGGCGUUAAGUUGCAGGGUAUAGACCCGAAACCCGGUGAUCUAGCCAUGGGCAGGUUGAAGGUUGGGUAACACUAACUGGAGGACCGAACCGACUAAUGUUGAAAAAUUAGCGGAUGACUUGUGGCUGGGGGUGAAAGGCCAAUCAAACCGGGAGAUAGCUGGUUCUCCCCGAAAGCUAUUUAGGUAGCGCCUCGUGAAUUCAUCUCCGGGGGUAGAGCACUGUUUCGGCAAGGGGGUCAUCCCGACUUACCAACCCGAUGCAAACUGCGAAUACCGGAGAAUGUUAUCACGGGAGACACACGGCGGGUGCUAACGUCCGUCGUGAAGAGGGAAACAACCCAGACCGCCAGCUAAGGUCCCAAAGUCAUGGUUAAGUGGGAAACGAUGUGGGAAGGCCCAGACAGCCAGGAUGUUGGCUUAGAAGCAGCCAUCAUUUAAAGAAAGCGUAAUAGCUCACUGGUCGAGUCGGCCUGCGCGGAAGAUGUAACGGGGCUAAACCAUGCACCGAAGCUGCGGCAGCGACACUGUGUGUUGUUGGGUAGGGGAGCGUUCUUUUCGCCUGUGAAGGUGUGCUGUGAGGCAUGCUGGAGGUAUCAGAAGUGCGAAUGCUGACAUAAGUAACGAUAAAGCGGGUGAAAAGCCCGCUCGCCGGAAGACCAAGGGUUCCUGUCCAACGUUAAUCGGGGCAGGGUGAGUCGACCCCUAAGGCGAGGCCGAAAGGCGUAGUCGAUGGGAAACAGGUUAAUAUUCCUGUACUUGGUGUUACUGCGAAGGGGGGACGGAGAAGGCUAUGUUGGCCGGGCGACGGUUGUCCCGGUUUAAGCGUGUAGGCUGGUUUUCCAGGCAAAUCCGGAAAAUCAAGGCUGAGGCGUGAUGACGAGGCACUACGGUGCUGAAGCAACAAAUGCCCUGCUUCCAGGAAAAGCCUCUAAGCAUCAGGUAACAUCAAAUCGUACCCCAAACCGACACAGGUGGUCAGGUAGAGAAUACCAAGGCGCUUGAGAGAACUCGGGUGAAGGAACUAGGCAAAAUGGUGCCGUAACUUCGGGAGAAGGCACGCUGAUAUGUAGGUGAAGUCCCUCGCGGAUGGAGCUGAAAUCAGUCGAAGAUACCAGCUGGCUGCAACUGUUUAUUAAAAACACAGCACUGUGCAAACACGAAAGUGGACGUAUACGGUGUGACGCCUGCCCGGUGCCGGAAGGUUAAUUGAUGGGGUCAGCGCAAGCGAAGCUCUUGAUCGAAGCCCCGGUAAACGGCGGCCGUAACUAUAACGGUCCUAAGGUAGCGAAAUUCCUUGUCGGGUAAGUUCCGACCUGCACGAAUGGCGUAAUGAUGGCCAGGCUGUCUCCACCCGAGACUCAGUGAAAUUGAACUCGCUGUGAAGAUGCAGUGUACCCGCGGCAAGACGGAAAGACCCCGUGAACCUUUACUAUAGCUUGACACUGAACAUUGAGCCUUGAUGUGUAGGAUAGGUGGGAGGCUUUGAAGUGUGGACGCCAGUCUGCAUGGAGCCGACCUUGAAAUACCACCCUUUAAUGUUUGAUGUUCUAACGUGGACCCGUGAUCCGGGUUGCGGACAGUGUCUGGUGGGUAGUUUGACUGGGGCGGUCUCCUCCUAAAGAGUAACGGAGGAGCACGAAGGUUGGCUAAUCCUGGUCGGACAUCAGGAGGUUAGUGCAAUGGCAUAAGCCAGCUUGACUGCGAGCGUGACGGCGCGAGCAGGUGCGAAAGCAGGUCAUAGUGAUCCGGUGGUUCUGAAUGGAAGGGCCAUCGCUCAACGGAUAAAAGGUACUCCGGGGAUAACAGGCUGAUACCGCCCAAGAGUUCAUAUCGACGGCGGUGUUUGGCACCUCGAUGUCGGCUCAUCACAUCCUGGGGCUGAAGUAGGUCCCAAGGGUAUGGCUGUUCGCCAUUUAAAGUGGUACGCGAGCUGGGUUUAGAACGUCGUGAGACAGUUCGGUCCCUAUCUGCCGUGGGCGCUGGAGAACUGAGGGGGGCUGCUCCUAGUACGAGAGGACCGGAGUGGACGCAUCACUGGUGUUCGGGUUGUCAUGCCAAUGGCACUGCCCGGUAGCUAAAUGCGGAAGAGAUAAGUGCUGAAAGCAUCUAAGCACGAAACUUGCCCCGAGAUGAGUUCUCCCUGACCCUUUAAGGGUCCUGAAGGAACGUCGAAGACGACGACGUUGAUAGGCCGGGUGUGUAAGCGCAGCGAUGCGUUGAGCUAACCGGUACUAAUGAACCGUGAGGCUUAACCUC